rnacentral:ncRNA from 14 species
UUACCUAUCUGGGCUCCUUCCUCCUCCCUGGGGCCUUGAUACCUGCGGCAGCACCUCUCCUCCUCCCUGGUGCUGCCGCUCAAAAUUCGGAAUUCGGGGUCCUUUCCUCCUCCCUGGGGCCCUGAAG